GCCAGGAUAGCUUAGUUGGUAGAGAAGGAGACUCUUAAUCUCAGGGUUGUGGGUUUGAGGCACAUGGUGGGCA